rnacentral:rRNA from 1 species
GAUGAACGCUGGCGGCGUGCCUAAUACAUGCAAGUCGAGCGAACGGACGAGAAGCUUGCUUCUCUGAUGUUAGCGGCGGACGGGUGAGUAACACGUGGAUAACCUACCUAUAAGACUGGGAUAACUUCGGGAAACCGGAGCUAAUACCGGAUAAUAUUUUGAACCGCAUGGUUCAAAAGUGAAAGACGGUCUUGCUGUCACUUAUAGAUGGAUCCGCGCUGCAUUAGCUAGUUGGUAAGGUAACGGCUUACCAAGGCAACGAUGCAUAGCCGACCUGAGAGGGUGAUCGGCCACACUGGAACUGAGACACGGUCCAGACUCCUACGGGAGGCAGCAGUAGGGAAUCUUCCGCAAUGGGCGAAAGCCUGACGGAGCAACGCCGCGUGAGUGAUGAAGGUCUUCGGAUCGUAAAACUCUGUUAUUAGGGAAGAACAUAUGUGUAAGUAACUGUGCACAUCUUGACGGUACCUAAUCAGAAAGCCACGGCUAACUACGUGCCAGCAGCCGCGGUAAUACGUAGGUGGCAAGCGUUAUCCGGAAUUAUUGGGCGUAAAGCGCGCGUAGGCGGUUUUUUAAGUCUGAUGUGAAAGCCCACGGCUCAACCGUGGAGGGCCAUUGGAAACUGGAAAACUUGAGUGCAGAAGAGGAAAGUGGAAUUCCAUGUGUAGCGGUGAAAUGCGCAGAGAUAUGGAGGAACACCAGUGGCGAAGGCGACUUUCUGGUCUGUAACUGACGCUGAUGUGCGAAAGCGUGGGGAUCAAACAGGAUUAGAUACCCUGGUAGUCCACGCCGUAAACGAUGAGUGCUAAGUGUUAGGGGGUUUCCGCCCCUUAGUGCUGCAGCUAACGCAUUAAGCACUCCGCCUGGGGAGUACGACCGCAAGGUUGAAACUCAAAGGAAUUGACGGGGACCCGCACAAGCGGUGGAGCAUGUGGUUUAAUUCGAAGCAACGCGAAGAACCUUACCAAAUCUUGACAUCCUUUGACAACUCUAGAGAUAGAGCCUUCCCCUUCGGGGGACAAAGUGACAGGUGGUGCAUGGUUGUCGUCAGCUCGUGUCGUGAGAUGUUGGGUUAAGUCCCGCAACGAGCGCAACCCUUAAGCUUAGUUGCCAUCAUCAAGUUGGGCACUCUAAGUUGACUGCCGGUGACAAACCGGAGGAAGGUGGGGAUGACGUCAAAUCAUCAUGCCCCUUAUGAUUUGGGCUACACACGUGCUACAAUGGACAAUACAAAGGGCAGCGAAACCGCGAGGUCAAGCAAAUCCCAUAAAGUUGUUCUCAGUUCGGAUUGUAGUCUGCAACUCGACUACAUGAAGCUGGAAUCGCUAGUAAUCGUAGAUCAGCAUGCUACGGUGAAUACGUUCCCGGGUCU